rnacentral:rRNA from 1 species
AGAAUCAACGCUGGCGGCGUGCCUAACACAUGCAAGUCGAACGAGAAAGUGGAGCAAUCCAUGAGUAAAGUGGCGACCGGGUGAGUAACACGUGACUAACCUACCUUCAAGUGGGGGAUAACCUCGGGAAACCGGGGCUAAUACCGCAUAACAUCUUUGGAGUGGAAAUUCUGGAGAUCAAAGGAGCAAUUCGCUGGAAGAGGGGGUCGCGGCUGAUUAGCUAGUUGGCGGGGUAAUGGCCCACCAAGGCUUUGAUCGGUAGCCGGCCUGAGAGGGCGCACGGCCACACUGGAACUGAAACACGGUCCAGACUCCUACGGAGGCAGCAGUGGGGAAUUUUGCGCAAUGGGGGAAACCCUGACGCAGCAACGCCGCGUGGAGGAUGAAGUCCCUUGGGACGUAAACUCCUUUCGACCGGGAAGAUUAUGACGGUACCGGUGGAAGAAGCCCCGGCUAACUUCGUGCCAGCAGCCGC